AGUCCAUGAUGUGGACAAAGUCUCGUCAUAUCCUUGUACCUUUUACAUGCUUCAAAGAGUGAUUCUACAUCUUUCUGUUUGAAUCUGUUGACUUCUUAGCAU